AAACUGGUAUUCGUUGCGUCGGCAAACAAACGAGGGUGAAGUACCUACUGGCAGCAUCGUCAGCGUGCAGACAAUGCACCACAAAGUAUAAAAGCACACGCGCUAAAUGUUUCACUUGAGUGUAAACUGAGAAGCGGCUGAACGCGGAUACAAUAUGCGUUGCCGCCUAGUAGUGUUGAUCCUCUUUGCGCUCUUCGCGCUAAUUUGCCCGGGCUUGGCCGUGAGACACCAGACGGCUUCCAAUCUAUUGCUGCGCAAAAAUGGGAAGACACAGCCAGGAUCGGUUAUAAGCAACCUAGGAGAUUCUCCGAGCCGAAGAUGCUCCUCUGGAAUGGUGUAUGACAAACGUUCCGGCCGAUGCAGGCAAAACUACGCCAUUGCUUGACUUUGAUUAAAAAUUGGACAAUUUGUAACUUUUGAUAUGAAUAAACUACGCAACAAAU